rnacentral:rRNA from 1 species
GCCCACCGCCCACCGCCCACCGCCCUCGAGAGGGAAAAGCCUCGGCUCACACAGCCGUCCAGACCCAGUAUUCUACACCAAAAUCCCAGGUAAAUUGGCUUCGUCUCCCCGCUCUGCGGCGAUGGAAGAAGGAGGAGGUGCAGAGCACCGCGAAUUCCAUCGCCACGGCCUCGCGCAGCCGCCUCGCCCUUCUCCGGCAUCUCGCGAUCCAUGGCAGACGUUUGUUGGAACAGACAGAUUAGUCAACAAAGAAAAAUUAAGUGGCGGAGAAUCUUCCUAAAAUGAAAUCAAGACGAUGAGAUAAGCAUGGAGAUUUAAUGUGGUUUGUUGGAGAUGCUUAAGGUAGGAGAUGAAGGACAGUUGGAAGGGGAUAAUGGAGGACAAUUAUAGCUUCACUAGAGCCUGGGGCGGAGAGGUGGGGGCCGUCUCUGCAGGUUCGCAGUGCAGCUGGGCCAAACAUCGCUUACAGUUUAAGCUGUAGCCUGUUAUGAAGUAAAAGCUGCGGAGGUACAGUUUCGGCCACUGUGUGCGGGAAGAUGAGAGGUCGAGCAGUAGCAAUUGGCACAUGUAGGUUCCACGGGGCACUCAGCGAGAUUCAAUCUUAACGUGACAUUUAGGCCGACCUUUUAUUAUGGAUCGCUGGGGGGAAGAAUCGUAAAAGUUUCGGGUGUCAACAAAUUGUGUCGCUGCGGAAAAGAGGGAUCAGACCAAAGCAGUGGCCUUGGUAGGGCAAGGUGUGAUAUUCACAUUGGUAUUAUCCUCGAUGACACAAAGGUUCAUGCCCAAGCACCCAUAUUUUAAUGGUUUAUAGUCGGGAUAUUUUCUUGAGUUGGGAUUUGCAUCUCCCAGAGGGAAGACCAGGGCGUACGCAUGCCACCUUUCGCGGCCGUGGGGGUUGAAAAUGGCUGCUCCUAUUGGAUGAUGGGAAAAGGUACCACAAGAUAACGUCUUGGGGCCUACCGCCGGCGACCACAUCGCAUCGGGGCAUGCCUUCGGUACCACACGCACUGAUGACUGCCAGUAAUCACUAAGCAGUGCAUUAAGGACGGUCGAUGCCGGCAGUUUCUUGUGUGUAAUAUAUAUACAAAACAGGCAGGGGGCAGCAAAAGCCAUAGACAGCGGAGGGACCACCAUGGAUGGUGUUCAUGGAUGCUGGACAGUUGCAGAUAACUCACCUAUCCUUUUAUUCUAUGGUAUACACGAUAGCCAGCUAGGAUAUCAUGAGAUCAAACCAGAUACUCUUGGCUGUGUGAAUUGGCUGGCAGAGAGUAGCUUGAUCUAUCCAGAUUUAAUUCCCAAGAGACAAAAAAAAAAGAAACUAUGGUCAUUAAAACUUAAAAUGGACUGAAGACAUAAAAUUAUAAAGCCUCGUUUGAGAUACUAGCUAUAGUUUUGACGUACUAUGAACAGUGCUAGGUUUAAUUCGUUUUAGGUGGGAUAUUUGUACUAUGUACGACUGCCAAAAGAAUAUAAUAUUAUGGACAGUUAAGUAAAGAUGCAUACUGUAGUGUCAACUGUUGCUGAUUGGAACUACUACUUGGCAGCCGCAGCAUGGGUACUACUCCCGGUAGUACUUAAAUCCAUGGGAGGGCUCAGCACUGGAGGUACGACCACCUAUCCCAUCCAUCUCCUCUGCUCCAAAACCAAGCACCAAGAGCCCUUUCUCUCACCACCUCUCCUUUCAAUUCCAGUACGGCGGCCGCUCACCGGAUCCAAGAAGAAAAAACCUCUCCCAUUUCCUGUUGUGUUCGGAGGUUUUAUUUGGGUUUCCUUUUGGAUUUUUUGGGUUGUUUGAUACUUUUGUGGCGGAAUUUGUUCUUCGGUUGUGCAAUCUGCGAAGUAAUGUUAGCUCCUGGUGUGGGGAGGCCCUCGAGAGAUUGACAGAAGAGAGUGAGCACACGGCGUGAUGCCGGCAUAACAUGUAUGCCGUCUUCGCCGCGUGCUCACUCCUCUUUCUGUCAGCCUCUUUCUAUCAGGAGUUUACGUUACAUUCAGAUCCACUGGUGGGUAUGUAGAACUAAUUCGACUCAAUUUCAAUUCAAUAGUUCAUAAUUUUCCACACAAAAAGGAAGGUUAACCCCUGCUUAUGAGAGGAACUCAGCCACAAAAGAAAGGCAGAACACGCAUGCGACAUGUACUCUGGCUUUUCUCCGACUUUACCAUGCCACUUCCUUAUCUCUUUAGAUGUGUGCGCACGCAAAAAAAUGAAGUAAAAAAAAUGCUCUGUUGUUUUGAUCUUUUCAGUCAAGUUGCUCCUGGGAACUACUACCGAGGAGAGUGAUACGGAUGCUAGUGGUAAUUGUAAGGAGUGGCAGCUGUAGGCGCUUGUAGUACUGGAAUAAAUGAUUGGAUUUGUUACUUGUUUUUUUCAUCCCCAAAUUGUUUUAUCUUCUCUCUUUGCAGUUGUACUCGCCUUGGGAGCUGAAUCAUGGAGAUGCUGCCGGUACACUGCAACAUGCACCCUCCUCUCUCUCUCUCUCUCACCCUAGCAACCCCCCUUCUUCUUUCCUGUUGCCUUGUUUUCCAUGGAAGCAGGUUUUAGCCAUGGUGGUGGGGCUUCAUCAAGUUCUUGUUGGGGUAAAAAUGGAGCAUGGAGUAAGCUAAGAGAUGAGCCAUAUUUGGCAAGGAAGGUGGCCUCACUUUGCUUUUGCCAGAUCUAGUUUGCAUCUUAGGAUAAGAGCAUCAUGUUAAUAGCGAACGUAACAAGCUGCACCAUCAAUUUGGACAAGCAGGAAGAGUCCUUCACACAUGGUCUGUAUGGAGUUGGAAUUGUUGGGUACUGGAAUUUUUCUUGGGUCUUCCUCGACCCAUACGGAUUCAACUCCUAUCAAAAAGUUUGAAGGCACAUGGCUCAGUUAACGAUGCAACCAUUGUAUCACUGGCGAUAGUUGGUUCUUCAUCAGAUAAGAAGCACUUGGUUCACUGAAUGGUUAAUCUCUGUGUUGAAUGAAACUGAUUCGACAGGUAUGCAUACACGAGAUCAAAAAGGGAGUUAGAGGAGGCAUACACAAGAUCACCACGAACAACAAGCAGAAGCUGGCCAAAACAGCAUGGCUCAACGAAUGAGAGUUCAAAGAGGGCUGCCAAGUGCCAACUUGAUCGGUUUGUUGUACCCGCUGAGUCAGACAAGAUGAACAACUAGAUGCUGGGGGAGAACAUCGACCAGGGAAAAUAUUUCGCAUGCAUCACUGAAGUUGCUCUGUAGCGGUGUACAGUUCCAGGCAACAGUGCAGGUCAACA